GAAGACACGACAUUGCUCACAUUGCUUCCAGUAUUUUUUGCCAGCCUUCAGGCUGGCUUUUUUUU
rnacentral:antisense_RNA from 1 species